rnacentral:rRNA from 1 species
AACGAACGCUGGCGGCAGGCUUAACACAUGCAAGUCGAACGCAUCCUUCGGGGUGAGUGGCAGACGGGUGAGUAACGCGUGGGAACGUGCCCUUCAGUUCGGGAUAACCCAGGGAAACUUGGGCUAAUACCGGAUACGUGCGAGAGCAGAAAGAUUUAUCGCUGAAGGAUCGGCCCGCGUCUGAUUAGCUAGUUGGUGAGGUAAUGGCUCACCAAGGCGACGAUCAGUAGCUGGUCUGAGAGGAUGAUCAGCCACAUUGGGACUGAGACACGGCCCAAACUCCUACGGGAGGCAGCAGUGGGGAAUAUUGGACAAUGGGCGCAAGCCUGAUCCAGCCAUGCCGCGUGAGUGAUGAAGGCCUUAGGGUUGUAAAGCUCUUUCGUCCGGGACGAUAAUGACGGUACCGGAAGAAGAAGCCCCGGCUAACUUCGUGCCAGCCGCCGCCGUAAAAC